rnacentral:tRNA from 1 species
AGGGAUAUAGCUCAAUGGUAGAGCACUUGCCUAAUAUGUGCUAGACCCUGGGUUCAAUUCCCAGUAUUUCAA